GUAAGAUUUGCAUGUUUUUUGUAACGUGUAAGUGUAUGCAGUUUCCCAUGACAGUAACCUUUCUUUACACUCUGUUUUAAGCUUCGACUUUGUUAAGACAAAGUUCUCAUCGUGUUUCACAGUUGAUUUUUGUUCCAUAGAAAGGGUUCUAUUUUCCAGGCUUGUAUGCGAAAAUACUAUCGAUUAGCAGAUAAGUCACCUGAGCUGCAUUCACGUUUAACAAAGGUGACACCAUAAAUGCUCAUCGCUGUCUUUUAAACAUAUGAUCUCAAAAUAAUGUCACAUUUGUACGUAUAUUUUAUCACCCAUGUAGAUUGAAUGAUGGCAAUUAAUUGGAAAGUCAAGAGUUCAAAUAUUAGUUGAGGGGUUGAUUCAACCCAUUAUCCAUCUUGUGUCGAUAAACGAAGAAACACUUAGUGGGGAGGUCACCAAUGAUUAUAAUUUGGAUAGACUCACCCCCAUAAUAGGAAUGUGAAAGGUGCAUCACUGGCUCAGCUGUAAACAAGAGAUGUGUACCACCUCAAUGCUAAUUUAGGCAAGAAAUCACUUUGAUGGACUCUAUGGAUAUUAUUGUUUAUUUAACUCCCCAGUGAUGUGCAACCAACAAAGAUAGUUUUAUUUAAAGGAUUGUAUUUAGACCAGUUUCAAAGAAGACUUAUGCUGA